CACGAUUGCAUGGGAGAAGUUAAUGGCAAAUCCAGUUUUGCUCUUUUUAUAUAAUAGUAGUUUUAAUUCAUAGACUAUUGUGGUAUCUUUUCCCUUAUCUGGAGAGUUGAUCAAAGACUAACGAAGACUACAGAUGACCAGAUCUCUUCUCUGGCUUUCCUUUAGGAACCUCCCAAACAAACUGAACAAACUGUAUGAACAAGACAAAAUGGAAAGAAAGGUCACAGGAAGCUGACAAGGCUGCACAACAAGCCUGCACACGGUGGAGGAUGCCUGUAAGGUCACUGAGAUGUUCUGAUUACUGUUCUCUAGACACCAUUCUGAAAAAUGCUCUGGACAAAAGGUAGGAGCAAUCACGGGGCUUGGUUCAUUUGAUUCUCUGCUCUUUGGGAUCAUAGUUCUGCAAUAUCUGCUGUUCUGGAC
rnacentral:lncRNA from 9 species